rnacentral:rRNA from 1 species
UGGGGAAUAUUGGACAAUGGGCGCAAGCCUGAUCCAGCCAUGCCGCGUGAGUGAUGAAGGCCCUAGGGUUGUAAAGCUCUUUUACCCGCGAAGAUAAUGACGGUAGCGGGAGAAUAAGCUCCGGCUAACUCCGUGCCAGCAGCCGCGGUAAUACAGAGGGUGCAAACGUUGUUCGGAAUUACUGGGCGUAAAGCGCGUGUAGGCGGUUCGUUAAGUCGACUGUGAAAGCCCAUGGCUCAACCAUGGAAGUGCAGUCGAUACUGGCAGACUGGAGUCCCGGAGAGGGUGGUGGAAUUCCCAGUGUAGAGGUGAAAUUCGUAGAUAUUGGGAGGAACACCGGUGGCGAAGGCGACCACCUGGACGGGUACUGACGCUGAGACGCGAAAGCGUGGGGAGCAAACAGGAUUAGAUACCCCCGUAGUCC